UACGAAGGGGGCUAGGCGUUGCUCGGAAUCACUGGGCGUAAAGCGCACGUAGGCGGAUUGUUAAGUCAGGGGUGAAAGUCCUGGAGCUCAACUCCAGAACUGCCUUUGAUACUGGCGAUCUCGAGUCCGGGAGAGGUGAGUGGAACUGCGAGUGUAGUGGUGAAAUGCGUAGAUAUCGGGAGGAACACCCGUAGCGAAGGCGGCCGACUGGACCGAUCCUGACGCUGAGGCGCGAAGGCCAGGGGAGCGGAACGGG
rnacentral:rRNA from 1 species